rnacentral:lncRNA from 1 species
GAUUUUUUUCUCUGUAUUAUUGAUUUGUUGUUUUACAUUAUACAUAUUCAUGAUAUUAGACUUGUUUAUAAUUCAAAGCUAAAUGCAAACCAUAGCUCUGCUUAUUUUAUAAUCUGCAACAAUCAUUUCUGAUACCCAAUACAAGAAAAGUUGGUUUCUAGCUUAAUCCAAAACAAAUUUUUUAAAUCAAGUUUAACCCUCUCCCUUUCACACCGGUACAGCUUACCGGUGAAACCAAUUUCGAGAUUUUUUUGGGACAUUUAGACAUGUUUAAUCGCCAUUUGCUGACGUACAGAUGUGGUUAAUGGCUCAAAUUUAAUCUCAGAUAACCAGCAAUGCGAUUUAAUGUGCAUCAAACCUCUAUCAUUAUUAGUUAAUAAACAAGUCGCCCCUUACUGAUGUGUAAAUUUUCUGUAAAAACCAUUUAUUUUUCUUCGAAUUUUGAGGGAUAUUCUCAAAAAGAAGUGCAAAAGAAAACUGCUCUUUUAAGAGGAUUUAUGUCUUUUUUCAAUAACUGUGCAGUGAGUUUUUGAAGAAUAGUAUUAAACUAAUAGUUCUAACUUGUACACUAGUUGCAAAUGUAAUUUUUAGUGUAGCAGCGCAAUCACAAACUUGAAUUACGCUAAAAAUCUGAAGUCAUUUCUUAAAGAUAUUAUGAGAAAAGAGAAAAAAAAAGCUAAAAUAUUCUGAAUUUUUUUGGCAAAGUUGAAAUAGAUGUAACAAAACAUGGUUUCGUAAGUGUUGCGGUAUACUAAAGUUGAAAACACUUUUGUUUGAAUAAAGAAACAUGUAUAUUUCAAUGAAAAAAUGACAGUUUAAAGAGUGGAUUCCUCCUAGAUUUGCGUAAAAAUCAUGCAUUUGACAACAAAAAAUUAUCAUCUGAACACAUAAUUCCAAAAAGAAAACAAACUGGGUGAGAAUCUUUGUAUUAUUUUUUUUUUUUCAUUUCUUUCGUAGUAGUAGACUUAAGUACUUAAAUUUCGAUAAAUUCACUACAAUGCCAGUGGCGCAGGGGUACGCUGAUCUAUCCAAGGCGCUAAGAUUGAGAGUUCGAAUCUCACUGCCGGAGUUGGAAAAAUAAUUUCCUAUAUUAAAUGUAACUUAACUUAACUUUACUUUCAAUUUCAAAAAGGAAACCUACGAAUUUUUUUUUAAAAGAAUGUGUGUGCAAAAUUGCCCCCCCCCCCCCCACCCCCCCCCCCCCCCCUUUUUUUACCCCCUUUGCUCCAUCGGGCUCGGUCAAGGGUGUCCCAGAUCGAGCUAGCAUUGGUAAUUCAAUGAAUUUUCCUUGUAAAAACAAAGUUUAGGUUGCUGAUUGAUUGAAAACGAAUUAGACAAAUAACUAGGGUCCAAGUUUGAAAUCGGACAAAAAGAGCGUCUAAAAUCAAUUAUUUUGAAUGUUACGGACAUCGAUAUUUCAAGGCCUAUAGCACGUUAUGCGUCUAUUUAUACCACUAUGAUAACUUAUAUGGCUUCAACAGACUCGAGGCAUUGUGUUUCCAUCAAAACCUGACCCUAUUAGCCCACCAAUAUGUCUCUGCACGACUUUUUGCCCAAGGAUUUCGUAUUUUUUUCACUUUUUCUCCAACAGUCACGUGACUUUUGGAAAUAUACCACGUGACCAAAAAAUGACGAAUUAUCUUCAAACUUAAUUUUUUGAAAUAUUUUACCAAUUAUCUUUUCAUUUGAGCCCAACAUGGCAUGUGUAUGACCAUUGAUGCGAAUUCUGUAUUCAUUUAAACUUCGAUAAUGUAUUUUCGAUAAGUAAAGGUCUAAAAUGCAUGAAAGGGAAAGGGUUAAAAAUAUGUUAUGCAGAUCUUGUUUAUUAUACAUGUAGCAGUUUCAUAUCAUUUGAUUAUACAAUGUAUUAUUUAAUAAACAUAAUAAAAAAAAAUAUUAUGUACAAAUGUAGGUGCUAAAAUAUUUACAGUAGAAAUACAUAAUGUACUUCUCAUAUUGAGCAUAUUUUAUACAGUACCAUUUAAACAACAUUGUAUAUUAUGCUAAUCAUAUUUUAUACAGAAGAUAUUGAAACAGCAUUGAUUAUGGAACCAUUUACCAAUAUAUUGUAACAAACUACAGAUUGUACAAGUAAGCACUGAUAAUAUAUCUUCCCUUAGAUUUGAUGAUGAUAAAAAAGUGACAGUACACAUAUUUAGGAGAUAUAAGCUCCAGUGUACAUGUAGGUUACUCACUAAGUAAGAUGGUUCCAUGAAUUGAGAGCAAGUCAAAAUUUUCAAAAUAGAUAAUUCACAAUUCAAGCUAAUUUGUUAUGUAAACUCUCCAUUUUGUUUUGACCAGAAGAUCUAAAUGGUAAUUUUAAGUGAAUUACAAAAAAUGUAAGUCUUUAAAAAAAUGUUAACUUUGUUCAUAUUAAAGUUUUUCAGAACUUUGGACUCACUAUGGACAAAAAGGAUGAGUUUUUUCAAAAUUGGGAUCAUUUGAAUUGUUUUUAAUGAGAACCCUGUCUCUUAUGUGUCUAUCCAGUAUUUUAUUUUUCAAUCAUAGUAUUAUAUUUUCUAGUGUGUUGACAGCAUUUCAGUUUUUUAUGUUACUUGUAGUGCUUGGAUUUAUUUUUGCAUUUUCAUAUAAAUUGUUUUGAGACUCGUGAUUUUUUUCAAAGUAUUUAUGUUUACUGUUAGUUUGUUAUUGUUUU